AUGGACCCCUUCUCCUCCGACCUCUGGGACCCCUUCGGCGCUUCCUGGCCCAUGGACGCCGGACGCCGAGGCGGCGAAGGGGGCAGCCGCGACGACGCGACCGCCAUGGCUCGCACCAACGCUGGUGCUGCUGCCGUGCGUGUAGGGGUGAGGAAGGAGGACGUGAAGGUGGAGGUGGAGGACGGCAACGUGCUCAAGAUCAGCGGGGCGAAGACGCGGGAGGAGGAGCACAAGGGCGACGCCUGGAACCGGGUGGAGCGCAGCUUCGGGUCCUUCAUGCGCCGGUUCCGCCUGCCUGAGAACGCCAAGGCGGACGGCAUCCGGUGCACCAUGCAGGACGGCGUGCUCAGAGUCGUCGUGCCCAAGGACGAGGAAGCCCAGAAGCAGCGCAACGUCCGCUCCAUCGACAUCGCCUAA
rnacentral:rRNA from 1 species